AUUUUUAAGUAAGAUCAAUGGUUUAAUCAAUAGAUAUUAAGAUUUUAAUCAAUUUUAGGAUUUAUUUAGGAUUUCAUUUAAGAUUUAAGAUUUGUUUAGGAUUUGGUUUAAGAUUUAGAAUUUGUGUAGGAUUUAGUUUAGGAUUAGUAUUUGUUUAGAAUUUGAUUAAGGAUUUAAAAUUUGUAUAAGAUUUGGUUUAGGAUUUAGGAUUUAUUUAGAGUUUGGUUUAAGAUUUAGGAUUUGUCUAAGAUUUGAUUAAGGAUUUAAGAUUUACUUAGGAUUUACGAUUUGGCUUAGGAUUUGAUUAAAGUCCAUUAGAUUUUUAACUAGGAUUAAAUGAAGAAUUAAUUGAAAUUUAUUUAAGAUAUAUUUGUAAUUAUUUUAAUAUUUCCUAAGGAUUUCUUAAGGAAUUUUUUUAAGGUUUAUUAUGGAUUUUUUUUGAACUAUUUUAAGAUUCCUUGUUUUUUCUUUUGUAAUUUCUUUAUGAUUUCUUUUGAAUUUGAUUAAAUCUU
rnacentral:lncRNA from 1 species